GCAAUGAAAAAGAAAGAUGAUUCAGAUUUAUGUUUAAGAGUUGAUGUGGUAGAUAUGUUGGUUGAAGAAGUGUUUAAAAAGCAACAUCCUGAAGAUCCCUUAAAAGCUUGUUUGGUUCACAACAUCAAAAAGGGGGAUGAGAUUGAAUAAGCUGCAUAAUAUGCUCAAAUUUUAGAAGAAAAUUCACCUUUGCCUAUGGCUAGUGUUGAGAAGAUUGGAGAUUUAAAGCAAGAUGCUACUUCACCACCAAUGCUUGAAAGAAGUGAAGCACCGAAGGUAGAGUUAAAACCUCUUCCAACAAAUCUCAUGUAUGUUUUUCUUGAUCAAAAUUCUACAUAUCAUAUGAUUGUUAGUGCUAAAUUGAAUGAUUGUGAAGUUGAAAAAUUAUUAAGAGUUCUUAGGGAGCAUAGGAGGAUAAUUGGUCAUACCAUUUAUGAUAUUAAAGGAAUACAUCCUU
rnacentral:misc_RNA from 1 species